rnacentral:rRNA from 1 species
CCUACGUGAGGCAGCAGUGGGGAAUAUUGGGCAAUGGGCGCAAGCCUGAACCAGCCAAGUCGCGUGAGGGAUUAAGGCCCUGCGGGUCGUAAACCUCUUUUGCCGGGGAGCAGUGGUCCGGACGUGUCCGGGCCGGGAGAGUACCCGGAGAAAAAGCAUCGGCUAACUCAGUGCCAGCAGCCGCGGUAAUACGGAGGAUGCGAGCGUUAUCCGGAUUUAUUGGGUUUAAAGGGUGCGUAGGCGGGCAUUUAAGCCGGCGGUCAAAUGUCGGGGCUCAACCCCGGCCUGCCGUCGGAACUGGGUGCCUUGAGUGGGCGAGAGGUAGGCGGAAUGCGUGGUGUAGCGAUGAAAUGCAUAGAUAUCACGCAGAACCCCGAUUGCGAAGGCAGCAUACCGGCGCCCUACUGACGCUGAGGCACGAAAGUGCGGGUAUCGAACAGGAUUAGAUACCCGUGUAGUC